AGUGAACGCUGGCGGUAGGCCUAACACAUGCAAGUCGAACGGCAGCACAGGAGAGCUUGCUCUCUGGGUGGCGGGUGGCGGACGGGUGAGGAAUACAUCGGACUCUGCCCAGUCGUUGGGGAUCGCGAAGGGAAACUAACGCUAAUACCGCAUACGACCUUCGGGUGAAAGAGGGUGAUCGCAAGCCCUCUCGCGAUUGGAUGGGCCGAGGUGGGUUUGGGUAGUUGGCGGGGCAAUGGCCCACCAAGGGGACGAUCCGUAGCUGGUCGGGGAGGAUGAAAGGCCACCUGGGAAUUAGGACACGGUCCAGACCCCUAGGGGAGGAAGCAGUGGGGAAUUUUGGACAAUGGGCGCAAGCCUGAUCCAGCCAUACCGGGUGGGUGAAGAAGGCCUUCGGGUUGUAAAGCCCUUUUGUUGGGAAAGAAAUCUUUCAGGCUAAUACCCUGGGAGGAUGACGGUACCCAAAGAAUAAGCACCGGCUAACUUCGU
rnacentral:rRNA from 1 species